GACGAACGCUGGCGGCGUGCUUAACACAUGCAAGUCGAACGGAAAGGCCCUGCUUUUGUGGGGUGCUCGAGUGGCGAACGGGUGAGUAACACGUGAGUAACCUGCCCUUGACUUUGGGAUAACUUCAGGAAACUGGGGCUAAUACCGGAUCGGAGCUCCUGCUGCAUGGUGGGGGUUGGAAAGUUUCGGCGGUUGGGGAUGGACUCGCGGCUUAUCAGCUUGUUGGUGGGGUGGUGGCUUACCAAGGCGUUGACGGGUAGCCGGCCUGAGAGGGUGACCGGCCACAUUGGGAUUGAGGUACGGCCAAGACUCCUACGGGAGGCAGCAGUGGGGAAUAUUGCACAAUGGGCGGAAGCCUGAUGCAGCAACGCCGCGUGCGGGAGGACGGCCUUCGGGUUGUAAACCGCUUUCGCCUGUGACGAAGCGUGAGGGAGGGUAAUGGGGAAAGAAGCACAGGCUAACUCGGG
rnacentral:rRNA from 1 species